UUGAGAUCGGUGGUUUGCCGUCGAGCAUAAACCUGCCUCGCGAAAAGGGGGUAGGACGGACGGGAAGGACUGAUGAUCGGUCAAAUGUCGCAGGAAGGUAGUCGGGCGCUGCGUCCAUGGCUCCUGGAUUUGCUCCCUUUCCUGGUCGUCGCUCUCGUCGUCGUCCAUCUUCUCGCAUUCGUUUACUGGAUUUACAAAUUGGCUACUGAGAAGCAACCUCAAAGGAGGAAGACCCAGUAAAUAUGAAAGCCUUGUACGUUGGAACAACAUGUUUUCUUGAUGUAAAUGCUAUACGGUCAACCUUUAGCUUACCAUCAUCAACCUCUUGAGUUGGUUAUUCAACAGGAUGUUAUGGCACUACCACUUCUGCAAUAUACCAGGAGUACCGUAAAUGACCAUUGAAUCCCAGCCAUACUCUCUUAUCGCAUUUAUAUCCUCUAUCACGAUUGCCUCCAAUAUCUUGCAAAAGUCAAUGUUUUCAUGGAGAUUUUCCAAAGGACAGCACAUUCAUACUUUAUUAUGUAGAACAUCUCAGAAUUGCUAGACUGUCUGAAGUCCAACAGCACGAUGGUCCUAAUUGAGUGCUGCAAACCUUUUCAUGGGCGUGCUAAGUUUUGCAGUUGCAGAAGCCUUUAAAUGCAGAGUAGUAGCUACAAAAGGGAAAGAGAAUUAUAUUGCGACUACAAUGACUGAACAA